rnacentral:rRNA from 1 species
GAUAAACGCUAGCGGCAGGCUUAACACAUGCAAGUCGAGGGGCAGCAUAGAUUGUAGCAAUACAAUUGGUGGCGACCGGCGCACGGGUGCGUAACGCGUAUGCAACCUACCCGUCACAGGGGGAUAAUCCGGAGAAAUCUGGUCUAAUACCACAUAACAUAUGGAUCGGCAUCGGUUCAUGUUGAAAUUUUCGGCGGUGACGGAUGGGCAUGCGUAGCAUUAGCUUGUUGGUGAGGUAACGGCUCACCAAGGCGACGAUGCUUAGGGGGACUGAGAGGUUUUCCCCCCACACUGGUACUGAGACACGGACCAGACUCCUACGGGAGGCAGCAGUGAGGAAUAUUGGUCAAUGGGCGCAAGCCUGAACCAGCCAUGCCGCGUGCAGGAUGACGGCUCUAUGAGUUGUAAACUGCUUUUGUACGAGGGUAAAGUGGGUUACGUGUAACCUUUUGAAAGUAUCGUACGAAUAAGGAUCGGCUAACUCCGUGCCAGCCGCCGCGGUAA